GCGAGGUUGAGAAACACCUCCCCACACCUCCCCUGACCCCCCCGAAUUCGGAAGGACGGGAAAUCCUGGGAGUUUCCUUGAGCGGAGCGUAGGAGGUGCCCCGCCCCGCCUGGUGUCUCCUGGGAUGUAAGGAGGGAAGCGGUGGUCCAGCUGGGCUGGCCUGUGGGGCUGCGACCCACUCCGGCGCAGUGAGCUCAGCGCGCGAGGGAGGGACCUCGCUGCCGCGAACCUGGGGGGUGUGGAAAGGUCACUUCCAGAAGCCAGCCGUUGGGAGGAGAGAGGAAAAAGCUCCGAGCAGUGCAUGUGGAGGGGGUGUGCGCGUGCAAGUCGGGUUGUACGUGUCGUUAGAAGGCAUGCGUGUGUAAGAACGGGUGUAGAGAGGUGCGCGUGUGAGGAGGCGAACGUGCGCGGGGAUACUUGUGGGCGUGUGGAGAUGUGUGGGAGAGAUGUGAAGAUGUGAUUUACACAGGUGCGGACGAAGGCAUGUGCGAGUGGUGACCUGGAGAUGCGUUCGAGUGUGGAGACUCACUGAGAAGCCCGUGGGCGAUGGGCGCGUGUGCACGUGGAGAUUUAUUAAUAUGUAUGCGCGCGCAUGUGGUGCGUGCGUGCGUGGGGGGGGGUGCGUGCAUUGGGUGGUGCGUGCGUGGUGGGGACGCAAGAGCGGGAAGGCAGGCAGACGGAGCGGAACGCGGGAGCCGGGAUGCACAUAUACCGGUUCGAAAAUCAAGAAAACGGAAACUGUUGACCAAUUGACCAUCUCGUUUAAAAAAAUGCCCGUGGUUUGCAUGCAUACCUAGUUGUGCGGUCAGCCAAAGCGACCCAAGUUCAUCCGGUAAAGUCACACGCCUGAAGCUUUUUAAAAACAAGAAUGGGCCGGGCGCGGUGGCUCAAGCCUGUAAUCCCAGCACUUUGGGAGGCCGAGGCAGGUGGAUCACGA
rnacentral:lncRNA from 1 species